rnacentral:rRNA from 1 species
UAAGGAAUAUUGGUCAAUGGACGCAAGUCUGAACCAGCCAUGCCGCGUGAAGGAUGAAGGUCCUCUGGAUUGUAAACUUCUUUUAUCUGGGACGAAAACGGGAUUUUUAUCUCAAUUGACGGUACCAGAGGAAUAAGCACCGGCUAACUCCGUGCCAGCAGCCGCGGUAAUACGGAGGGUGCGAGCGUUAUCCGGAUUUACUGGGUUUAAAGGGUGCGUAGGUGGGCUUAUAAGUCAGUGGUGAAAUCUCCGAGCUUAACUUGGAAACUGCCGUUGAUACUAUAGGUCUUGAAUUAUCUGGAGGUAAGCGGAAUAUGUCAUGUAGCGGUGAAAUGCCUAGAUAUGACAUAGAACACCAAUUGCGAAGGCAGCUUACUACAUAUAAAUUGACGCUGAGGCACGAAAGCGUGGGGAUCAAACA